AACAAUACCCCGUUAUAGGAAAUGGGUGGAAGAGGCUUGCAUCCAGUCAAAGGGGACCAAGACUUCACUGCAUACACACCAUAUCAUCUCAGGGACACUCCACUGGGUGGGAAUUGAAAGAUGAGAGUUCUCCUCUUUACUCUGAGCCUUCUGGGAGCGGGCCUGUCUCUUCCAAUCUCCUUUCCUGGAGCUUUGAGUGCUGAAGACAUUCUCAAGCUCAUGACACGGACCACUGCCGUCAACAACAGUCCGGACCCAAUUUACAAAGUCGUCUUGAACCCCUAUCCCAACCCAAAUAACAGAUAUAACGUGAACCCCUAUCAAAAUCCAACCUAUGGAUUGAACGUGAACCCCUAUCAAAAUCCAACCUAUGGAUU